UCCCGGGUCGUCUAGCCAGGCAGGACGACGGUCUUUGGCACCGCUAACGAAGGUUCGAAUCCUUCCCCGGGAG
rnacentral:tRNA from 1 species